AUCAUCAAACAGUCGCACUUUACUCGUUAAUACAACUAUUUCUUAUCAUUUCGUAGAAUUUAUUAAUCUACGUCAAAACAAAAUGAAUUUCUACCGUGUUUUUAUUCUCGUUUUGGUCAUUUUCUGUUUAUUGAGUGGUCAAACUGAAGCAAAAUGGAAAGGAUGGAGAAAAAUUGAAAAGAAAGUCAAAAAAGUUUUUAAACAUACCAAAGAAGCUUUACCUGUUGUGCAAGGUGUUAUUGGAGUCGCCCAAAUCGUUGGUCGAUAAAAAUAAAUCAACUUAACUCGAAAAACAAAUUUAUAAGACUUAAAUUAAUAUAUUUAGUAUUAAGAAAAUGACCUCGUAAAGUAUUCUUUAUUUUAUUGUACAAACUUUUAAGCAAUAAAUUGUUCAAUCUACUUCA